AGAUUGAACGCUGGCGGCAUGCCUUACACAUGCAAGUCGAGCGGCAGCGCGGGGGCAACCCUGGCGGCGAGCGGCGAACGGGUGAGUAAUACAUCGGAACGUGUCCUUUUGUGGGGGAUAACCAGUCGAAAGACUGGCUAAUACCGCAUGAGAUCGCAAGAUGAAAGCAGGGGGACCGCAAGGCCCUGCGCGAGAGGAGCGGCCGAUGUCGGAUUAGCUAGUUGGUGGGGUAACGGCCUACCAAGGUAACGAUCCGUAGCUGGUCUGAGAGGACGACCAGCCACACUGGGACUGAGACACGGCCCAGACUCCUACGGGAGGCAGCAGUGGGGAAUUUUGGACAAUGGGCGCAAGCCUGAUCCAGCCAUGCCGCGUGUGUGAAGAAGGCCUUCGGUUGUAAAGCACUUUCGGACGGAACGAAAUCGCGCGAGUUAAUAGUUCGCGUGGAUGACGGUACCGUAAGAAGAAGCACCGGCUAACGUACGUGCCAGCAGCCGUA
rnacentral:rRNA from 1 species